GGGCCUGUAGCUCAGUUGGCAGAGCAUCGGACUUUUAAUCCGCUGGUCCCGGGUUCGAGCCCCGGCGGGCCCA
rnacentral:tRNA from 1 species